GGUUCUCUAUGGAAAAUCAUAUCUUCAGUAAGGGGUUGUUUGGUUGUUGGAUUUGUAUUUUGGAUUUAUGACAAUGUCAUCAAUCUAAGAAUUUGCAUUGCUUCUCUUCUUGCUUCUUUGAAACGAUGAUGAUUUCCCUCUUUGCUGAUAUCUAGGGUUUUGUCUAUCUUAACCCAAAAAUCAUAUAUGCUUCUGGUAUAUUUUUUUGGUUUUUUUUGCAUAUAUACCCCUCAAAGCUAUCAUAUUUAAAUAUACACUCUAGAUCUGCAUAUAUUUCUGAUGGUGAGGCACUUGUUGCAGCUGUUUUGGUACUCUGCAAUCUGCAUUAUGGGGAUAUGAAAAAAGGGUUUGGGUUUAGGCCCUUUUGUUGCCCUUUUGUUAUGUCUGAUUGAAGGGCUGAUUUGAGUUUCUUAGCUCAUGGUUGAAGAGAUCUGAUGCAUUCAUGAUGGAUCGUUCAGAAAGUUCACACUUAGUGUUUGCUCCAGAAUCGACCAAUAGCUGCGACUGAUGCUCUUUGUCAGAAAAUCGGGCGUAAACAGUAAUAAUUAUAAUUUCUUCUACGAUUUAGCUAAUUGCUGAUUGACAUUUUUCUUUUUUGUGUGAGCAACGCCUUGCCCAAGGAAAUAUUGCCCUGGUUACUUAAAAAAAGGAGAAAACAAAAACAAAAACAAAAACAAAAAACAAAAUUGCCUUAGUAAAAUGACUGGUAUUGUUGAUUAGUCCUUGGGAAGGUAGAUUUUUUAUUUUUUUAUUUUUUUAAUAUUUGCAUACCACAGUGGCGUUGUAAUUGUGGGUACUUUGCUGAGAGCAAGCAACCAUUUUGCAGCCAUUUGUUAUUAUUGCAAUGACUUUUGGAUAGAUGAUGGCAGUUCUGUACAAAGGACCCCAAAAUUCAUGGUGGUUUUGUCUCGGUAAGGAGUUUACAAUAUACUCACAUCCGCAUCCACCAAAUUUGGAGUAUUCAUGUGGAUGCAAAACGGAUUUUAUGAAAAUUAGAUAAGGUUGAAAAAAAUGCAGUUCAUAUGAUGUAAGAGAGUCCAUUAAUAUGUUUUUAUAUAAAAAGAUUAGAUCUAUGUAUCAUCAAAAUUUACCUCAAAUCCAUGAAUCUAGGGAUAAAAAACAAUUGCAAUGGUAUAAUCAACAUAAAUUCGGAUAUUUCGGAUAUGGUACAAAUAUUUUACUACACAACUGCGUCCAUAACCAUAUCAGAUAAAAUAUCAUACUCCAUUUAAAAACACGAGUUCGGGAAAGGCUUUCUAUGGUCAAUAUUACCCUUCAUUAUUUUAAAUAUUUCAUUUAAAUUUUAAUUUGUCAUAAUUCUAAUUAUAUCUUAUACUAAUUCGUAAUCUCACGUGAACUACCUAUAGCUCAACGACUUAAAAAAUUAGAUUAAUGAAAUACAUGAAACAUUAAUUUGAAUAUUUCAUUUAAAUCUUAAUCUAUCAUAAUACUAAUUAUAUCAUAUACUAAUCUCACGCGAACUACUUAUAGCUUAACAAUUUAACAAAAAUAAGAUUAAGAAAUCAUACAUAACUAACAUAUUAUAAUACAUGAAGUAUUAAAAAAAACCCCAAAAAGUUUCAAAAAUUGCACAAAGUAUCCUCUUAGCCCACUUUUCAUCAAUCAUCUUAUCUUAUUGGCUUUAAUUAUUCUCUUUAGUUUCGUUCUAGCCCACUUUUCAUCAAUCAUCUUAGCUUAUUGGCUUUAAUUAUUCGUCUGUUUUUUAUAAUGCUAUUUUUUUCAAGUGUUUUUUACUAUCGCAACACUAUACUUUCUCAAGUCAAGCUUGAUUUCAUGUCGGUCCAAAUAAUAUGAAAAUUUAAAUUCAGUGUAUUCUAGUCAAACAAGCAUCAAAGAAAAUAAAUAAUCACAAUACAAAAGUUUAGAUACAGAAGUGAGCAAAAACUAUCAAAGUAGAACCGAGAAUAAAUUUUAGUAAGGAAAUAAAUAAAAAAAUACUUAAUCAUGGUAUUUUACCACGUGCAUUGCACAUGCAUAAAAUCUAGUGGGUACAAAUAUAUCCACAGCUAUGGAAACUUUUUUCUCUCAACCUCAUCCCCAAAAUGAUGGUUUUCUUAAAGCAUUCCCUUUUUUGUUGCCUUCUUCAAAGCAACAGAGACGGGAAAACCCUAAUCUUUUAGAAGGGCUCUAUAAAAAAUCAUACAUUCAGUUAGGGCCUGUUUGGUUGGAUGGUUUGUAUUUCAGAUUUAUGACAAUGUCGAGGAUUGCAAUUUGCAUUAUUUCUCUUCUUAUCAGAGACGAUGAUGAUUUGACCUCUCCGUGUGAUCUAUGAUUUCCCCAUCUAUUUUUGGUAUUAUUUUUUGGAGGUUUUUUUUCCUUAUAUAUCCCUUAAAUCUAUGAUAUUUAAAAAAUCUCCCCCUAAAUCUGCAUGUAUUUCCAAUGUCAAGGCAUUUUUGCAGCCAUUUUUGCAUUUUCUCCAUAUAAAAAAGGAAGAGAACUGGAAUUAGGGUGGUUAGGGUUUAUCCCCUUUUGUUAUGCUUGAUUAAUGGGCUAUUCUGAGUCUAACCCUUGGUUGAAGAGAGAUUAUUGAUGGCUUGUUCUAGAAGUCCGCAGUAUUUUUCUCUGAUUUCCUACAUGAAAGGAUUGGGGUAAGAUGAUUAGUCCUCGAAAAGCUGGGUAAUAUACAUACAGUAACAUAUUACAGUGGCGAUGCAAUCUUGGAUGGUUUGCUAUAUUGCUGACAACCAUUUUUGCAGCCAUUAGUUAGUAGUUUUUUUUUAAAUAUUUGUUCCUUAAAUCUUUCAUAUUUUGAAAUUAGCCUCUGUUAUGCAUAUAACUCGGAUUUUGGCAUUUGGCUCAGCGAGAUCAUGCCAUGUCAGCAAAUGACUCGGUCAACAAGUAAUCAACUCAACUCAAAAGUGUGGGGGCAUCUGCAUGUCAAAACUUUCAAUUGCUUUUUUGUGCUCUCAAUUUUUAUAAGGGUUUUUGCCCAUGAACCCAAAGCUUGCCCCUGUUUACAUGCUACAGUAAAUACUAAAUACUGUAGCGUGAAGAGCCAACCAAAUCUGUUCCUCUGCACUAGAAGUUACUAUACAUGCAACAAUAAUUUACUGAACAGUAAAACAAAUGUAUUAAAACUUGGAUCCUUCUUUCGGUAUAGAGGAGUAGAUAUGAUUUCUAAAUUAAAUGUAUUAAAAGUUGGAUCCUUCUUUAAGUAUAGAGGAGCAGAUAUAAUUUCUAAUUUUAAGCAUAUAAUAAUUAAAUCAAAUGUAUUAAAACUUAGAGGGAGGUAAGUUUAAAAUGCAGUGCUUAAAAAAAUAGGGGGCCGUGCUUUGCACGGGGUGCACACUAGUGUUCUAUAGAUUUAAAAUGCGAAGUUUACUUCGGUUAAUUGCGUAUGGAACCCUGUACUAUUGCCAAAUUGAACUUACUACCCUGUAGUUCUUUUGUUGCAAUUGACACUUGAAUACCUUAUAGUUUCACAUACAUCUCACUUUUGAGAGCAUCUGCAUUGGUUAAUGGCAAGGUAACCUUGGGCGGUCUGCUACUUUGCAGGCCAUGCUCUUGCAGUCACUCCCUCAUCUCUGAUGAGAAGGGCUGAUCUGAGUCUCCUUUUGUUUAAUUUAUUCUAACUAGUGCUGCUGAUAAAGAGCAUCCCAAAACCGAGUAAAGUUCUGUUGCUCUGUGUACUUUUUCAUAUGGUGCUCGAGUGUCAAUGAAAAUCAUUAUAUUUCCUUGGAGAUAGGGUGAAACAUUAUGAUAUUAUUCUGCAAAGUUAGCCUCUCUUUUUUGUUGGAUUUUGGAUUAUUUUCUCGAUCUUAUCAAAUAUAACAAGGGUUUUCUUAAAGCAUUCUCUCUUUUGUUGCCUUCUUCAUAGCAAUUGGGAGGAAAACCCCUAAUUUUUUAGAUGGCCUCUUUUAUAGGAAAUCAUAUGUUCACUUAGGGGCUGUUUUGGUUUCAUGGGUUGUAUUUUGGAUUUACAACAAGAAUUCACAAUUAUUUCUAUUCUCCCUUCUCAGAGACGAUGAUGAUUUGCCAUCUUUGGUGAGAUCUACCCUUUUCCCCCCUUCUAGGGGCCUGUUUGGUUGGUUUCCAGCAAUUUCCAAAUUUGCCUCCGGUAUCAUUUCUUGGGGUGUUUGCAUUUAUACCCCUCAAAUCUGUUUAUUUUUAAAUUUACCCUCUAAAUCUAUAUUUAUUUCCAAUGGUGAGGCAUUGUUGCAGCCAUUUUGGCAAUUUCAUAUUCAUUUCCAAUGGCGAGGCAUUAUUGCAGCCAUUUUGGCAAUUUCCGCAGACGGGGAGAAAGGAGAGAGAGAUGAAUUGAGGGUUGGGGUUUGGGUUUAGCUUAAACCCAUUUUGUUAUGUCUGAUUCAAGGCUGAUCUGAGUCUCUAAGUUCUUGGUUGAAUAGAUCUGUGUAUUGAUGACUUGUUCAGGAAGAUCACACUGUUUUUCUCUGAUUUCUUUCUUGAAAGGAUGAGAUGAAUAGAAAAAGAUGACUCCGUUAUAUGUAAAGGAGGUAAGGCUUUAUGGUGUUCUUCUGCAAUUUAGCUAAGUUGUUAUUGACUUUUUAUCUUUUCUUUUUUAGGUAAUGAUCUGUCGAAUGAAAAUGACUGUUAUAAGAUGAUUAAUCCUUGAGAAGCUUGGUUCUUUGCAUACUACAGUGGCAAGGCAAUCUUGGAUGGUUUGCUAAUAUUGCUGACAACCAUUUUGCAGCCAUUAGUUAGGGCAUGUUUGGCUAAUACUUAUUUGGCUUAACUGCACUUAAAUACCCUAUAAUUUCACCUACUUUGCACAUAUAUAUCCCUAGCUGCAUUUGGCUGCAUUUAAAUACCCUAAAGUUUCUCGUCCCUUCUCUGAGACGAUGAUGAUUUGCCCUCUUUGCUAAGAUCUAGCUUUUCCCCCCUAAUCCAAAGUCAUAUCUGCUUUUGAUAUUGCCUAUAUACCUGUCAAAACUAUCAUAUUUUAGAAUUAGACUCUAAAUCUUCAUAUAUUUCCAAUGGCGAGGCAUUUGUAACAGUUGUUUUCUUACUUUCUGCAGCUUUUUUUGGGGAGUGGGGGUGGGGGAUGAAACUAAGGUUUCGGUUUAGACCCUAUAUAAUCUGAUUAAAGGGCUGAUCUGAGUCUCGUACCUCAUGGUUGAAAGAUCUAAUGCACAUGAUGGCUUGUUCAGAAAGUUCAAACUGUAAGUGUUUGCUCCAAAAUGGGUCGAUAGCUGCUACAGAUGCUCUUUGUCAAAAAUCAUGGUAAAUAGUAAGAAUCAUGGUCUCUUCUACAAUUUAUAUAAUUUCUGAUUAACAUUUCCCCCCUUAUUGUGCAAGUAAUGCCUUGCCCAAGGAAAUGCUGCCCCUGGCUUACUCAGAAAAGGAAAAAGGAAAAAAUAAAGAACAAAAAAUUCCCCCAGUAAAACGACUGGAUUCCUCUAAAAAGAAAAAAAGAAAAAAAGAAAAAGACUGGUACGAUUAGUCCUUGGGAAGCUUUAUUUUUUGUGUGCUACAAUGGCAAGGCAAUUGUGGAUGGUUUGCUAUAGCGCAAGCAACCAUUUUGCAGCCAUUUGUUAGUAUUGCAACAAGUCUUUGAUAGUUUAAUGACAGUUUCAUGCAGAAGAAACCAAAGUUCAUGGUGGUUUUGUGAAAUUUACCCUUAUUUAUUUAAUUAUGGUAAAGGGUUGAUAAACAUAUCAGACUGAUAAUUUAGCGCAGUGUUGGCGAUGCGUGAUGCGAAAUGUGGGCCACAAAGUCCCUUUAUGUGCAGAUGCGCAAAACGCAAUGUGAUGUGCAUGUUCAAGCUUCAGCUUAGCGCACACCACACAUAUAAAUUUUCAAGAUAUAUAAUCAAACAUGAAAAAUCAUGUUUAUGAAAUUUUACAUAUAAAAUAUGGUAAGAUAAAUAAUAUCUACUAUGAAAUAAAAAAUGGGGAAAUUGCUUCUGGCCCCCAAUAUCCUUACAAGUAUUAUGCCCACCGCCAAGACUUUUUCAACACUAAACACUCCCAAAACCCCCAAAAACAAAGCCACAAUUCUCUGAGCCCCCAAAACACAAAACCUAAGAGUUUAAAACAUGUGAAGGCCAUAAUACUCUCUCUCUCUCUCUCUCUCUCUCUUCAUGAUGUCACUGUGAUGAUUUGAAAUGAGUUUUUUUUUUUUUUUGGGGGGGGGGGGGGGUUAGUUCUCUUCAAAAUUUUCCAACCACGUCGACAUCAGCGAUGAAACUUUCCCGGUGUUCGUUCAUGAGGCGAAGAAAACUACGAUCUUGAAGACGGUGAUAACUAGUUGCGAUGGAUUCAGCGUCGCCGUUCCGAAGAAAAAGGGUCCUCAAUCAGGCUAUGAAACAAUUUUCCCUAAAACAAUAUGUUCUUAAUUCAUAAUGCUAACACACCCAACAUAGUAGCAAAGUUCAUAAUUUUUCAAAUCAAAAGUCAAAUCAAGACCGAUAUCCAAUAAAAGAAAAUCAAAUUGUAAAUGAGGACGAGUAAGGGUCCUCAAUCAGGCUAUGAAACUAGCCUAAUGGGUUUAUUAUUCUUUUUGGAAUAUGAGUGAUCGGGUAUAUAGAUCCAAUUGAAACGUAAAUGAAAAAAAUAUACGAGGCUAUGCCAUAUGCGUGCCCUGUGUGAAGCGCCCUCUCGCAAGGCACUUGUGAGGCGCAAAAAAGGCACUAUCGCCUCAAAAAAUAUACGAGGCUAUGCCAUAUGCGUGCCCUGUGUGAAGCGCCCUCUCGCAGGGCACUUGUGAGGCGCAAAAAAGGCACUAUCGCCUCAGAUGCGGGGCUCUCCGCCACUGCCCACAUCAGAGGGCACAUGAGGUGCACGCCUUUGAUAACAUUGAUUUAUCCUAUAAAAAAACAAGGGUUAAUUUCAGAAACCCCCAGAACUUUGGAGGGUUUUGCAGAUAACCCCCCUGGACUGUUUUAGUUCGAAAACCCGUUUGAAUUUUGAGGGUGUUGCAGAUAAUCCCCUUGGUUGUCUGAUUUGUAUUCUGAAUUUACGACAAUGUCAUGGAUUUGCGAUUUGCGUUAUUUCUGUUGUCACUUCUCAGAGACAAUGAUGAUUUGCCCUCUUCAGUGAAUAUCUAGGGUUUUCCCCCUUAGAGUCUGUUUGGUAAUUUUCUGAAAAUUUUCCUAUCUAUUUUUGGUAACUUUUUUCGGGUCUUUUUUGCCUAUAUACGCCUCAAAUCUAUUGGUAUUUUUAAAGUUCCCCUUUAGAUCUGUGUAUUUCUAAUGGCGAGGCAUUUUGGUAGUCAUUUUGGUAUUUUCUGCAGAUAGAAAGAAAGAGAGAUGGAAUUGGUGUUAAGGUUUGGGUUUUUUUCCUUAUGUUUAUGUCUGAUUAAAAGUCUGAUCUGAGUCUCUUUAAGUCUUGGUUGAAGAGAUAUAUGCAUUGAUGGCCUGUUCGGAAAGUGCAUAGUAUUUUUAUUUGAUUUCCUACAUGGAAGGAUCAAGGGGAAAAAUGAGGUUCUAUGUGUAAAGGAGGUAAAAUUUGACAGUGGUUUUGCAAUUUAGCUUAUUUGUGAUAACAUUUGUCUUUUUUGCUGCAGGUAGUGAUCUGCCCAUGGAAAAUAAUUGGGGUAAGAUGAUUAGUCCUCGAGAAGCUUGGUAAUUUGCAUACUACAGUGGCAAGGCAAUCUUGGAUGGUUUGCUGUAUUGCAAACAACCAGGUUUGCAGCCAUUGUUGAUGAUGAUUUGCCCAAAGAAAAUGAUUAUCGGACCCACAGAAAAUGGUUAUCGAACCAGAACAACGUCCAUUCAGCAUUCUUGAAGGCCAAUGAUAUGGUAAAAUAUCAGAAAUCAUGUCCUUUUUUUACUUUCUCAAUCCUUUAUCAUUCUGGUCAGUCAUUGUCACAAUCAACUACAUCUUAUCACUUUGUUUUAACUGGCGAAUUCAUUUUCUAUGUUCCUUGUGUCAAUGAAUUUUAAAUGUUUAUCUUUGUCUCAUCCCCAAUUGAAGACAUCUCUAGCUUCCUACUUGUAAAUUUGUUACAUGUCCUAUCUCGUAGGGUACUCCACUAUUUUUCGUUCAUCUUAACUUUCCCAUUUAGGUUGUCCUCAUUUAUCACAGGUUUCUUCGUUGUCCCAACAUUUCUAAUCACAAUUCAUAGCUGCUCCCAAAAUUAUACUGUGAUGGCAAGGCAGAAUUUAAUGGUUUCGGGCAAGCCUCUGCAGCCAUUUAUUUUCAGCUAUAAUGUAGAGGGGGAAAAAAGCAAGAAGGGGAAAGGCUUUCUCCUAAACCAUUAUGUUCGGAUGGUUUAUUAUAUAUUAGUACCUGUGGUAAGGGUUAGGUACUAUCGGCACAAAUACAGAAUUACCUUUGAUCAGGCUUGGUCUGUUUUGAUGGUGAGGUUACAUUGGAAGGUGUUACAGCAACCAUUGAGGCAUUAAACAUGCACAUUGCGGCUGAAUGAAGAAGGGGUGGCGAGAUGGUUGAGGAUUUUUACUGCUAUUCCUCUUAUGCUCCUCUCUAGGUUGAGGCGAAGAGGUAAAAGGGUUAAUAAGUUUUAAGUCGUGUGAGACUUCAAAGAGGAAGCUGCGGACCAACUAUUCGGAGAUGACAAUUCUUCGGGUACUAGCAGAAGAGCUUAAUGGCGUAAGCUUUCUCUGAGCGGUGUCUUGAUUGUGUCGCGACUCUUGCAUGGUGAUAUACUUUUUGAGAAAAUUGUAUUUGUUUUGCAUAUUGAGAACAAGUUUCCAUAUUUAUAGAUAAAGUAUGGUAAAGAGAUGUAUCAUUUUGAAUGACUGUAUUAUGGUUCUGGAAGAAAAGCAUGUUGUUCUGUGUCUUGUUAAGAUA